AAAUACCUUUAAAAAUUUGAUACAAUAUAAGUUUGAUGAAGAAAUAAAUGAUUUCUUCAAGGCUUUGAAAGAUGCUUGAGUUUCUUUGUUUCACUUAAGUUUAUCUUUACAUAUUAAAUAUCUAUAAAGAGUCGCAACUUGAAAAAAAUUCUUGAUAAAGAUUCAAUAAUAAUUGAAAAAUUUCAAAUAACAUUGCACAUCUCUAGCUUUUUUUGAG
rnacentral:lncRNA from 1 species